GAAAAAGUCCUCUGGGAUAAUUUCUGAAGUCACAUGCUCAGUCAAGGAAGCUGGCUUUCUCCUGCAUUGGAAGAGUUGAACAACUUCUUUCCAGCAUGCAUAUGUAGUUGCUGACAACUGGGAACAGCUGUGCACAAAAGCCUGUGUGCAUAAAUCCUAAAGGCACCCUCUGGACUACCCAAGUGAUGAUGCCAUCAAGAAUGGCCCUGCCUGCAGUAGUGGACCUCAGUCCCCAUGACACAAAAGACAAUAGCCAAAAAGGACUUUUGACAUCUGAAGACUAACUGGCAGACAGCAUGCUGGGCAAGGAUAUUGAAAAGAAAUCUCUGGUCUCUUCUGAAGCUGCAAGAUAAGGGAAGUCUUACUUUCCAAGGAAAAAG